rnacentral:rRNA from 1 species
GGUUAAGCGACUAAGCGUACACGGUGGAUGCCCUGGCAGUCAGAGGCGAUGAAGGACGUGCUAAUCUGCGAUAAGCGUCGGUGAGGUGAUAUGAACCGUUAUAACCGGCGAUUUCCGAAUGGGGAAACCCAGUGUGUUUCGACACACUAUCAUUAACUGAAUCCAUAGGUUAAUGAGGCGAACCGGGGAACUGAAACAUCUAAGUACCCCGAGGAAAAGAAAUCAACCGAGAUUCCCCCAGUAGCGGCGAGCGAACGGGGAGGAGCCCAGAGCCUGAAUCAGUGUGUGUGUUAGUGGAAGCGUCUGGAAAGGCGUGCGAUACAGGGUGACAGCCCCGUACACAAAAAUGCACAUAUUGUGAGCUCGAUGAGUAGGGCGGGACACGUGGUAUCCUGUCUGAAUAUGGGGGACCAUCCUCCAAGGCUAAAUACUCCUGACUGACCGAUAGUGAACCAGUACCGUGAGGGAAAGGCGAAAAGAACCCCGGCGAGGGGAGUGAAAAAGAACCUGAAACCGUGUACGUACAAGCAGUGGGAGCCUCUUAAUGGGGUGACUGCGUACCUUUUGUAUAAUGGGUCAGCGACUUAUAUUCUGUAGCAAGGUUAACCGAAUAGGGGAGCCGAAGGGAAACCGAGUCUUAACUGGGCGUUAAGUUGCAGGGUAUAGACCCGAAACCCGGUGAUCUAGCCAUGGGCAGGUUGAAGGUUGGGUAACACUAACUGGAGGACCGAACCGACUAAUGUUGAAAAAUUAGCGGAUGACUUGUGGCUGGGGGUGAAAGGCCAAUCAAACCGGGAGAUAGCUGGUUCUCCCCGAAAGCUAUUUAGGUAGCGCCUCGUGAAUUCAUCUCCGGGGUAGAGCACUGUUUCGGCAAGGGGGUCAUCCCGACUUACCAACCCGAUGCAAACUGCGAAUACCGGAGAAUGUUAUCACGGGAGACACACGGCGGGUGCUAACGUCCGUCGUGAAGAGGGAAACAACCCAGACCGCCAGCUAAGGUCCCAAAGUCAUGGUUAAGUGGGAAACGAUGUGGGAAGGCCCAGACAGCCAGGAUGUUGGCUUAGAAGCAGCCAUCAUUUAAAGAAAGCGUAAUAGCUCACUGGUCGAGUCGGCCUGCGCGGAAGAUGUAACGGGGCUAAACCAUGCACCGAAGCUGCGGCAGCGACACUAUGUGUUGUUGGGUAGGGGAGCGUUCUGUAAGCCUGUGAAGGUGGCCUGUGAGGGUUGCUGGAGGUAUCAGAAGUGCGAAUGCUGACAUAAGUAACGAUAAAGCGGGUGAAAAGCCCGCUCGCCGGAAGACCAAGGGUUCCUGUCCAACGUUAAUCGGGGCAGGGUGAGUCGACCCCUAAGGCGAGGCCGAAAGGCGUAGUCGAUGGGAAACAGGUUAAUAUUCCUGUACUUGGUGUUACUGCGAAGGGGGACGGAGAAGGCUAUGUUGGCCGGGCGACGGUUGUCCCGGUUUAAGCGUGUAGGCUGGUUUUCCAGGCAAAUCCGGAAAACCAAGGCUGAGGCGUGAUGACGAGGCACUACGGUGCUGAAGCGACAAAUGCCCUGCUUCCAGGAAAAGCCUCUAAGCAUCAGGUAACAUCAAAUCGUACCCAAAACCGACACAGGUGGUCAGGUAGAGAAUACCAAGGCGCUUGAGAGAACUCGGGUGAAGGAACUAGGCAAAAUGGUGCCGUAACUUCGGGAGAAGGCACGCUGAUAUGUAGGUGAAGCGACUUGCUCGUGGAGCUGAAAUCAGUCGAAGAUACCAGCUGGCUGCAACUGUUUAUUAAAAACACAGCACUGUGCAAACACGAAAGUGGACGUAUACGGUGUGACGCCUGCCCGGUGCCGGAAGGUUAAUUGAUGGGGUUAGCGGUAACGCGAAGCUCUUGAUCGAAGCCCCGGUAAACGGCGGCCGUAACUAUAACGGUCCUAAGGUAGCGAAAUUCCUUGUCGGGUAAGUUCCGACCUGCACGAAUGGCGUAAUGAUGGCCAGGCUGUCUCCACCCGAGACUCAGUGAAAUUGAACUCGCUGUGAAGAUGCAGUGUACCCGCGGCAAGACGGAAAGACCCCGUGAACCUUUACUAUAGCUUGACACUGAACAUUGAGCCUUGAUGUGUAGGAUAGGUGGGAGGCUUUGAAGUGUGGACGCCAGUCUGCAUGGAGCCGACCUUGAAAUACCACCCUUUAAUGUUUGAUGUUCUAACGUUGGCCCGUAAUCCGGGUUGCGGACAGUGUCUGGUGGGUAGUUUGACUGGGGCGGUCUCCUCCUAAAGAGUAACGGAGGAGCACGAAGGUUGGCUAAUCCUGGUCGGACAUCAGGAGGUUAGUGCAAUGGCAUAAGCCAGCUUGACUGCGAGCGUGACGGCGCGAGCAGGUGCGAAAGCAGGUCAUAGUGAUCCGGUGGUUCUGAAUGGAAGGGCCAUCGCUCAACGGAUAAAAGGUACUCCGGGGAUAACAGGCUGAUACCGCCCAAGAGUUCAUAUCGACGGCGGUGUUUGGCACCUCGAUGUCGGCUCAUCACAUCCUGGGGCUGAAGUAGGUCCCAAGGGUAUGGCUGUUCGCCAUUUAAAGUGGUACGCGAGCUGGGUUUAGAACGUCGUGAGACAGUUCGGUCCCUAUCUGCCGUGGGCGCUGGAGAACUGAGGGGGCUGCUCCUAGUACGAGAGGACCGGAGUGGACGCAUCACUGGUGUUCGGGUUGUCAUGCCAAUGGCACUGCCCGGUAGCUAAAUGCGGAAGAGAUAAGUGCUGAAAGCAUCUAAGCACGAAACUUGCCCCGAGAUGAGUUCUCCUGACUCCUUGAGGGUCCUGAAGGAACGUUGAAGACGACGACGUUGAUAGGCCGGGUGUGUAAGCGCAGCGAUGCGUUGAGCUAACCGGUACUAAUGAACCGUGAGGCUUAACCUU